GAUGAACGCUGACAGAAUGCUUAACACAUGCAAGUCGACUCGAGUCUUCGGACUUGGGUGGCGCACGGGUGAGUAACGCGUAAAGAACUUGCCUCUUAGACCGGGACAACAUCUGGAAACGGAUGCUAAUACCGGAUAUUAUGGUUUUUUCGCAUGGAGGAAUCAUGAAAGCUAGAUGCGCUAAGAGAGAGCUUUGCGUCCCAUUAGCUGGUUGGUGAGGUAACGGCCCACCAAGGCAAUGAUGGGUAGCCGGCCUGAGAGGGUGAACGGCCACAAGGGGACUGAUACACGGCCCUUACUCCUACGGGAGGCAGCAGUGGGGAAUAUUGGACAAUGGACCGCAAGUCUGAUCCAGCAAUUCUGUGUGCACGAUGACUUUUUUCGGAAUGUAAAGUGCUUUCAGUCGGGAAGAAGUCAUUGACGGUACCGACAGAAGUAGCGACGGCUAAAUACUUGCCAGCAGCCGCGGUAAUACGUAUGUCGCAAGCGUUAUCCGGAUUUAUUGGGCGUAAAGCGCGUCUAGGCGGCAAGGUAAUGUCUGAUUUGAUAAUGCUUAUCUCAACUCCGUAUGGCGUUGGAAACUGCCUUACUAUAGUUGUGGAGAGGUGGCGGAACUCUAGUGUUAGAGGUGAAAUUCGUUGAUUUUUUGUGGAAUGCCGAUGGUGAAUCCAUCCUUAUGUGCUUAUGCUGAUGCUGAAGAUCAAUAGCAUGGUGUGCAAAUUGUAUUAUAUGUGUUGUGGUACUAUGUUAAUGUCUGUGUUUGUGUAUUGGUUUGUGUGGUGUUUUGAUCUGUGGUGGAAAAACAAGUACCAAAUAUUGUUGCUGUAUAUGUUGUUGUGUUAAGUUUUUUUUUGUUUUCUGCUGUGUGUGUUACGGUUUGGUUUGUCUGUGUGUGUGUUUGUUAUAUAUAUGUGUGUUUUAAUGGUUGUGUGUGACGUGUGUGUUGUGUUCUUCGUGUGUUGC
rnacentral:rRNA from 1 species